rnacentral:tRNA from 1 species
GGAGACGAAAGCAGUCUAAGCUGUUGAUUUUGCUUAUUUCUGCUGGAGACUUGAAAACCGGCAACGGGCAACCGUUCGUGAGUUCGAAUCUCACCGCUUCCGCCA